UAAUGCAAGUCGAGCGGAGUAUUUCCUUCGGGGAAUGCUUAGCGGCGGACGGGUGAGUAACACGUAGGUAACCUGCCUAUAAGACUGGGAUAACUAUCGGAAACGAUAGCUAAGACCGGAUAACUGGUUUUCUCGCAUGAGAGAAUUAUGAAACACGGAGCAAUCUGUGACUUAUAGAUGGGCCUGCGGCGCAUUAGCUAGUUGGUAGGGUAAUGGCCUACCAAGGCGACGAUGCGUAGCCGACCUGAGAGGGUGAACGGCCACACUGGGACUGAGACACGGCCCAGACUCCUACGGGAGGCAGCAGUAGGGAAUCUUCCGCAAUGGACGCAAGUCUGACGGAGCAACGCCGCGUGAGUGAUGAAGGUUUUCGGAUCGUAAAGCUCUGUUGCCCUAGACGAACAGCAAGGCGAGUAACUGCGCUUUGUGUGACGGUAUAGGAGAAGAAAGCCCCGGCUAACUACGUGCCAGCAGCCGCGGUAAUACGUAGGGGGCAAGCGUUGUCCGGAAUUAUUGGGCGUAAAGCGCGCGCAGGCGGUUCGUUAAGUUGGGUGUUUAAGCCCGGGGCUCAACCCCGGUUCGCAUCCAAAACUGGCGAACUUGAGUGUAGGAGAGGAAAGUGGAAUUCCACGUGUAGCGGUGAAAUGCGUAGAGAUGUGGAGGAACACCAGUGGCGAAGGCGACUUUCUGGCCUAUAACUGACGCUGAGGCGCGAAAGCGUGGGGAGCAAACAGGAUUAGAUACCCUGGUAGUCCACGCCGUAAACGAUGCAUACUAGGUGUCGGGGAUUCGAUUUCUCGGUGCCGAAGUUAACACAGUAAGUAUGCCGCCUGGGGAGUACGCUCGCAAGAGUGAAC
rnacentral:rRNA from 1 species